CACGUAGGGGGCAAGCGUUGUCCGGAUUUAUUGGGCGUAAAGAGCUCGUAGGCGGUUCGGCAAGUCGGGUGUGAAACCCCCAGGCUCAACCUGGGGACGCCACCCGAUACUGCUGUGACUUGAGUCCGGUAGGGGAGCGUGGAAUUCCUGGUGUAGCGGUGAAAUGCGCAGAUAUCAGGAGGAACACCAGCGGCGAAGGCGGCGCUCUGGGCCGGAACUGACGCUGAGGAGCGAAAGCUAGGGGAGCAAACGGG
rnacentral:rRNA from 1 species